GGCCUUUCUUCAAAGAUAAGUACUGACCUUUCCUACUGUGUCAAAGCACUUUUGCUAAGCCUCACGCUUAAGCAAGUAUUUCAUCUGCAUAAAGGAGGAAGGCAAAGGCAGAGAGCCCCACCAAACAAGGAAGAAAGCUAGCCCCUCCCUUGAUCUCUCCGAAGGCACUCUAUUUCAACUAUAAAUUUCGUAGAUAGAGAGUAAACUCACAAUUCCUUUUCCCUAUUUCCCGCUUUAGUAGAUAUAGUAAAAAGGUCAAAUUCACUUUAUCGAUAAAAGAGAUCGCAAAUCUUUUCUAACCGAGUUGCAUUCCCAGGAGUCAGAAGUAAGAGUUCCUAUACUAAAGCCAAUUAGCUUUCGUCAAAAGAGUAGCAGCCCUUGAAGUGAGAUCCUUACUAUCUUUCUUUACUACUGAGGCAAGAAGAACUUCAGUAGAUUAAGAGAAUUGCUUUGAUUGAGGGAGGACUUGUUGGCUAAUAGAGGCCAGGGUAUCUACUCUCAUUCCUUAGUUGUCAAGUUUGGAGUAGUUGCUGACUUUCACUUGCUUUUCUUCCGCCAGCAAAAGGAAUUAGUCUGACAGCUAUUGGUGCUUUAGUUCAACCAGAACUGGACCUAGAGACUGGGACUGUAAGAGAGGCUCCGGUUUAUGAACCACUGUAGUCUUGUUUUCCUGGUCUAGUAAGUCCAGUAGUCCGGUCAAGUCAGUCAGGUAGUACUGGUCAAGUAAGCACAGUCGUUUUU
rnacentral:lncRNA from 1 species